rnacentral:rRNA from 1 species
GACUCUCGGCAACGGAUAUCUCGGCUCA